CAAAAACAUCGCCUCCCGCAAAAUCUCAAUGUAUAGGAGGUCUUGCCUGCCCAGUGAACUAGUUUAAACGGCCGCGGUAUCUUGACCGUGCAAAGGUAGCGCAAUCACUUGUCUUUUAAAUGAAGACCUGUAUGAAUGGUGGAACGAGGGCUUAACUGUCUCCCCCCUUAGGUCAGUGAAAUUGAUCUACCCGUGCAGAAGCGGGUAUAAAAAUACAAGACGAGAAGACCCUUUGGAGCUUAAGACACCAAGACCACUUAUGUCAAAAAUCCACUACAAAGCAGAUUAAACCUAAUAAUAUAUGGUCCCAGUCUUCGGUUGGGGCGACCGCGGGGGAAAAUAAAGCCCCCAUGUGGAAUGGGAAAAAUAUCCUAAAACCAAGAGAGACAUCUCUAAGACACAGAACAUCUGACCAUUAUAGAUCCGGCUAUACAGCCGAUCAACGGACCAAGUUACCCUAGGGAUAACAGCGCAAUCCCCUCCCAGAGUCCCUAUCGACAAGGGGGUUUACGACCUCGAUGUUGGAUCAGGACAUCCUAAUGGUGCAGCCGCUAUUAAGGGUUCGUUUGUUCAACGAUUAAAGUCCUACGUGAUCUGAG
rnacentral:rRNA from 1 species